GAGCUCAGGUUUCUCUUCAUUCACGCAUAAAUCUUUCGCGUUUUACUAAAGAUUUCCGGUGGAGAGGAACGUUGGCGAGUUCAGCUUAUUUUUGUGGGCUUUUCUGUGGGGACU
ensembl:snRNA U5 U5 spliceosomal RNA